UAUGUAGAUUUUAUUGUUGUUAUACUAUUUGUUUGGACAUUAUUCUUAAUUAUAGCAAAGGACAAACAAACUAACAAUUUACAAUUGUUCUUUUUUAUUCUUUGUUUUAGAUGAUUGUGGCUUUAUUAUAAUGAAAAAAAUAAUGGAAAUAUACGUCCUUUCAGUUGUUUGCUUCUCAACUACGUUUCUACUUCUGUAUUUCUGUAUAUAAGAUAAAGAAAAAGAAUAAGGAAAACGAACAAGAAGAGUAAAGUGAAAAAUGGUAUUACGAGAAGUCAUGGAAGAAGCGAUAGCUGAACUCACUACCAAAGAAGAAGUAAAAUCUGUUAUGGAAGAAGCAAUCAGUGAACUCACUAUCAAAGAUGAAGAAACAGAAAUAGCAAGAUAAUUAAGGGACCUUCCACCAGCUCAUUACCUGUUGAAGAUCGGAAAUUUCUCCCAACUUGCUAAUGCAAAUGUAGAAAACUAUCAACCAAGUGUUUUUAUCAACCAAGUGUUUUUGAAGUUGGUGGAUACAUAUGGUGGGUUCUAAUUUUAGUUCCAUUCCUUUCAAUUUUUAGUUUUUCAAAUUUAUUUAUUUAUUUAUGAUUAAUUGGGGCAUUCAUUUAUUUAUUUAUUGCUUUUGGGCGAUUGGGUCUCAAACUGCAAUUCAAACUUCUAAUCUCACAGUUUUAUUGUUGGAGACAAAUUGAGUAUUUAAUUUUUUAAUUGCUGUUGUUUUUCACCUACAUGUUUUGAUGCUGGAGACUUUCUCUUUACCCUAAAGGAAACAAGAAAGCAUUUAAAGAGAAAUACAUAUCUGUAUAUUUAGAACUAUGGAGUCCAAAUGCAUUACCUUUACAUAAGGAGGGUAAUAUAUGCUUCAGCUUAUUUGUUUCUCUAUAAUCAAAUCCAGGAUAAGUAUUUGGCUGUUCGAGCUACUGGAUUACUAGUUUGGUUUUUAUAUAUAGUUUUUUGUGAUUCAGCUGUUUAUAUUAAUUUCUUUUAUUAAUGUUUUUAUCCCAAUCACAUGUUCAUUUCAACCUUUUCUUCCUAUUGCAAUGGAUUUCAACUUGCAUCAGCAAAGGCUGCCCAACAUAGGUUAGACCGUGGUGUUUGGACUAGUGUGCGUUUUGGGGACAUGAGGCGUGCUUUAGCUGGUAUAUAUAUAAAAUGAAGUUACAUUUAUAUUUUCUGUUUCCUAUUUUAAUGGUCUGCACAGUUAGAUUAACUAGAUUUUAGUGAUUUGAGACGUCUUAGCCUAAUGAUGCUAUCGUUGUCUCUGCACACGCAUGAGAAACCAAAAUGUACUUUUUUCAUUGCAAUAAUGACUUGGAUAGUUCUUA